AAAGAAAUGUUGAUGAGGAAUAGUAAGAGUCUGAGGUUUUUCAGAGACCUGCCGGAUGGUGCGAGGCAGGAAACAGCGUUCUCCCAACUCCCCUCGGAGUUCUUUUUCUGAACAUCCGGAUCGGAAAAGUAGGAAAAAGCGGGUCUUCCCGUUACAGAAGCAAUGAGUGCAUCUGUGUGUUUGCAGAUGAAAAAGAGUGGUACCACGGAAGAUAAAAGCCUUUUCGUCUCUUAU
rnacentral:ncRNA from 1 species